GAUGAACGCUAGCGGCAGGCUUAAUACAUGCAAGUCGAGGGGCAGCACAGGUAGCAAUACUGGGUGGCGACCGGCAAACGGGUGCGGAACACGUACGCAACCUUCCCUGAACAGGUGAAUAGCCCUGCGAAAGUAGGAUUAAUACACCGUAUGAUAUAGUGGUGGCAUCACGAUUAUAUUAAAGGUAGCGAUACCGGUUUAGGAUGGGCGUGCGCCUGAUUAGGAGUUGGUGCGGGUAAUGGCCCACCAAGCCUUCGAUCAGUAACUGGUGUGAGAGCACGACCAGUCACACGGGCACUGAGACACGGGCCCGACUCCUACGGGAGGCAGCAGUAAGGAAUAUUGGUCAAUGGAC
rnacentral:rRNA from 1 species